CUGCUGCAGUUCAGCUCUCAUCCUAGAGCCUUGAAGCCCACCCCACGCUGGGCCUUUCUCCAUCUCUGCCAGUGGACUCUUCUGCAGCUCGGAAAGUCAGCAUGUGCGUCGUGGCUCCAGCUCUGCAUCCGUUCAGCUCUCAUCCUAGAGCCUCCAAGCCCACCCCACGCUGGGCCUUUCUCCAUCUCUGCCAGUGGACUCUUCUGCAGCUCGGAAAGUCAGCAUGUGCGUCGUGGCUCCAGCUCUGCUGCAGUUCAGCUCUCAUCCUAGAGCCUUGAAGCCCACCCCACGCUGGGCCUUUCUCCAUCUCUGCCAGUGGACUCUUCUGCAGCUCGGAAAGUCAGCAUGUGCGUCGUGGCUCCAGCUCUGCAUCCGUUCAGCUCUCAUCCUAGAGCCUUGAAGCCCACCCCACGCUGGGCCUUUCUCCAUCUCUGCCAGUGGACUCUUCUGCAGCUCGGAAAGUCAGCAUGUGCGUCGUGGCUCCAGCUCUGCAUCCGUUCAGCUCUCAUCCUAGAGCCUCCAAGCCCACCCCACGCUGGGCCUUUCUCCAUCUCUGCCAGUGGACUCUUCUGCAGCUCGGAAAGUCAGCAUGUGCGUCGUGGCUCCAGCUCUGCAGCCGUUCAGCUCUCAUCCUAGAGCCUCCAAGCCCACCCCACGCUGGGCCUUUCUCCAUCUCUGCCAGUGGACUCUUCUGCAGCUCGGAAAGUCAGCAUGUGCGUCGUGGCUCCAGCUCUGCAUCCGUUCAGCUCUCAUCCUAGAGCCUUGAAGCCCACCCCACGCUGGGCCUUUCUCCAUCUCUGCCAGUGGACUCUUCUGCAGCUCGGAAAGUCAGCAUGUGCGUCGUGGCUCCAGCUCUGCUGCAGUUCAGCUCUCAUCCUAGAGCCUUGAAGCCCACCCCACGCUGGGCCUUUCUCCAUCUCUGCCAGUGGACUCUUCUGCAGCUCGGAAAGUCAGCAUGUGCGUCGUGGCUCCAGCUCUGCAUCUGUUCAGCUCUCAUCCUAGAGCCUUGAAGCCCACCCCACGCUGGGCCUUUCUCCAUCUCUGCCAGUGGACUCUUCUGCAGCUCGGAAAGUCAGCAUGUGCGUCGUGGCUCCAGCUCUGCAGCCGUUCAGCUCUCAUCCUAGAGCCUCCAAGCCCACCCCACGCUGGGCCUUUCUCCAUCUCUGCCAGUGGACUCUUCUGCAGCUCGGAAAGUCAGCAUGUGCGUCGUGGCUCCAGCUCUGCAUCCGUUCAGCUCUCAUCCUAGAGCCUCCAAGCCCACCCCACGCUGGGCCUUUCUCCAUCUCUGCCAGUGGACUCUUCUGCAGCUCGGAAAGUCAGCAUGUGCGUCGUGGCUCCAGCUCUGCAUCCGUUCAGCUCUCAUCCUAGAGCCUUGAAGCCCACCCCACGCUGGGCCUUUCUCCAUCUCUGCCAGUGGACUCUUCUGCAGCUCGGAAAGUCAGCAUGUGCGUCGUGGCUCCAGCUCUGCAU